AUGUGCCACGUUGCUCUCCCAUCCAGCCCUCGUGCCCAGGCAGCAGGCCUGUUGUUCCGUUUUGCAGAUGUGGACUCUGCGGCUCGAACAGCCAGUGAACUCAAGGGUGGGGACAGGAUUCGAAUCUGGGCCUCAGAGCUGCGCUCCCAUCUCCGCAGAGCUCCGGGAGCUUUGGCGAGGCUGACGGGGAGGGGAACGUGCACUAAUCAGGCUGGCUGUACGCAGGUGAAGGGUUCUACACGUCCACUCUCUGGCCCUCGGCUGCCUGGUGUCCUGUGGAGCCUGGGAGAGGAAGGAGCGGGCUGGGCGCGCACAGCCGGCCUGGCCAUGGGCAGAGAUCCAGGGCGUCUAGACAGCAGGGGUGGCGGCCGAUGAAGACCAGCAGAGAGCUAGGACACAGCUGGGCAGAGGAGCCCUUGUUCCAUGUGUCUGAGGCCCGGGGUGCGAUCUCCAGUACAACAAAAAGAAGGAAAGGCUAAACUGUAUGGUUAGAGAUGCAUCUAAACAAAGCAAGGAGCCAGGCAUGGUGGUGCACACCAGUCAUCUCAGUGCGCAGGAGGCUGAGGCAGGAGGAUCACCCUGAGUUCGAGGCCAGACUGGGCUACAUAGUGAGACCCUGCCUCAAAAACGGGGGAGGGGUACAGCUCACUGGGAGCCCUGGCCUGGUGUGCAAGGAACCCUCUAGCUUCCUUCCUUCCUUUUUGGUGCUGGGGUCCCAGUCCAGGGUCUCCCACACACUAGGCAAGGGUCAUACCACUGAGCUGCCUCCCAAGUCUUGAUGUUUAAUUUCUUGGUCUGGAGGAUGGCUACAUAGGUGUUCACUUUAUAUUCUUUAACUAUGCAUUUUUUGAAAAGCCUCGCAGUUGGGCAUGGCGGUUCGCACUUGUAGUCCCAGCUACUCAGGGUGCUGAGACAGGAGGAUUGCUUGAGCCUACGAGCUUGGGAAAGCCUGGGAAACAUCUUGAGAUCCUACCACAAAAAAAAAAACAAACCAGGGUCAGGGAUUUAGCUCAGUGGCACUACACCUGCCUGGCAGGUGCAAGGUCCUGAGUUCGAUCCCCGGUACCAGAAAACAAACAAACAACAAAUCAUAGUGCAUAGGACUCUCAUCUUAUAAAAGGUUCAUAUCCUGGUAAACCGAUCGUAAGUUGGAAAUACUUCUAAUGCAUGUAACCUGCAGCACAUAGCUUAGCAACCCAUAGCACUGUAGAAUAUCAGUGAACAGGGGCCCAGACGGAGUCUCAGAUCACAUACUGCCAGCCUGGGAAAAGAUCAAGAUUGAAAAUGUGAAUUGUUUCGGUAGAAGUUUCUAUGGAUCCCUUUCACAUGAUCAUAAAGAAAAAAAAAAUCCUAAGUGGAAUCAUCACAAAUCAGGAGCGGUCUGUAUGUCCAAAAGGUGGACUACUAUACAGUCAUUAAAAUGGACAACAGUAUCCAGGCACGGCGGUGCAUAUCUGUCAUCCCAGCACUCAGGAGGCUGAGGCAGGAGGAUUGUCAUGAGUUUGAGGCCAGCCUGGUGUCACAGGGAGAUCCCGGCUCACAAAAUAAAAUGAAACGAAUUUUAAAAGACUGUCUCUGUGUCUGCAGGCUCCCGUUUGCCUCGACUGUUUCCCGGAGGACAUGAAGAUCAGGUAGCAAGGUGGGGGGGCCGUGGAAGAGGAACGGGGCAGUUGUCACCCUUUUCUACCUUCUGGAUUUCGAACAAUGUGCCUGUGUUAUCUAUUCCUAAAAUAAACUAAUUAAAAGUUUGAUUUCUUCUCAUUUCCUGGAGACCCCAAGAUGUUGGUUUUCAAACCAAUUUCCUGCUGAUGAGAAGGAAGCCGCAUCCUGGCCGGAUGUAUCCAGGACCUCGAGCCAGUCAGGGAGCCAUGCUGACCCCUUACUCCGAGGUGGAGGAAGGAGGCUGGGGAGCACUUCCUUCUUGAAGGUCCCACUGCCUUCUGGCAGCCAGCUGUGCCUUGUGUCACCUCCCUUCUGUCCCUCGUCCGUUGCCCUUCCCUGCUCCCUCGCUCUGGUCUCUCCUUCCUCACCUGGGUUUCUCCCUUCUCUUGCUCUCCUGUGUGGUUUUUGAUUCAGGGUCUCACUGUGUAGCCCAGGCUGGUCUCAAACUUGUGGCGACCCUCCUGCCUCAGCCUCCCAGGCACUGUGAUUACAGGCAUACGCCACCUUGCUUGGCUCAUCCUAGCC
rnacentral:lncRNA from 1 species